GAGUUUGAUCCUGGCUCAGAUUGAACGCUGGCGGUAUGCUUAACACAUGCAAGUCGAACGGUAACAGCAAGAGCUUGCUCUUGGCUGACGAGUGGCGGACGGGUGAGUAACGCGUGGGAAUCUGCCUACUAGCGGGGGAUAGCCCGGAGAAAUCCGGAUUAAUACCGCAUAAGCCCUACGGGGGAAAGCUGGGGAUCUUCGGACCUGGCACUAGUAGAUGAGCCCGCGUUAGAUUAGCUUGUUGGUGGGGUAAUGGCCUACCAAGGCAACGAUCUAUAGCUGGUCUGAGAGGACGAUCAGCCACACUGGGACUGAGACACGGCCCAGACUCCUACGGGAGGCAGCAGUGGGGAAUAUUGCACAAUGGGCGCAAGCCUGAUGCAGCAAUGCCGCGUGUGUGAAGAAGGCCUGCGGGUUGUAAAGCACUUUCAGUAGAGAAGAAAAGCCUAGGGUUAAUACCCCUGAGUCUUGACGUUACCUACAGAAGAAGCUCCGGCUAACUCCGUGCCAGCAGCCGCGGUAAUACGGAGGGAGCGAGCGUUAAUCGGAAUUACUGGGCGUAAAGCGCGCGUAGGCGGCUUUGUAAGUCGGAUGUGAAAGCCCUGGGCUCAACCUGGGAAUUGCAUUCGAUACUGCAGAGCUAGAGUAUGGUAGAGGGAAGUGGAAUUUCCGGUGUAGCGGUGAAAUGCGUAGAUAUCGGAAGGAACACCAGUGGCGAAGGCGGCUCUCUGGUCCGACACUGACGCUGAGACUCGAAAGCGUGGGUAGCAAACGGGAUUAGAUACCCCGGUAGUCCACGCCGUAAACGAUGUCAACUAACUGUUGGGCGGGUUUCCGCUUAGUGGUGCAGCUAACGCAAUAAGUUGACCGCCUGGGGAGUACGGCCGCAAGGCUAAAACUCAAAUGAAUUGACGGGGGCCCGCACAAGCGGUGGAGCAUGUGGUUUAAUUCGAUGCAACGCGAAGAACCUUACCUACCCUUGACAUCAUCAGAACUUGUUAGAGAUAACUCGGUGCCUUCGGGAACUGGUUGACAGGUGCUGCAUGGCUGUCGUCAGCUCGUGUCGUGAGAUGUUGGGUUAAGUCCCGCAACGAGCGCAACCCUUAUCCUUAGUUGCCAGCACGUAAUGGUGGGAACUCUAAGGAGACUGCCGGUGACAAACCGGAGGAAGGCGGGGACGACGUCAAGUCAUCAUGGCCCUUACGGGUAGGGCUACACACGUGCUACAAUGGCCGGUACAAAGGGUUGCCAACCCGCGAGGGGGAGCUAAUCCCAAAAAACCGGUCUCAGUUCGGAUUGGAGUCUGCAACUCGACUCCAUGAAGUUGGAAUCGCUAGUAAUCGUGAAUCAGAAUGUCACGGUGAAUACGUUCCCGGGCCUUGUACACACCGCCCGUCACACCAUGGGAGUGGGCUGCAAAAGAAGUGGGUAGUUUAACCUUCGGGAGAACGCUCACCACUUUGUGGUUAAUGACUGGGGUGAAGUCGUAACAAGGUAACC
rnacentral:rRNA from 1 species